CGGGAGAUUGAGAGCGGCGUACGGGUGCGGAACACGUGUGCAACCUGCCUUUAUCAGGGGGAUAGCCUUUCGAAAGGAAGAUUAAUACCCCAUAAUAUAUCGAUUGGCAUCAUUUGAUAUUGAAAACUGAGGUGGAUAGAGAUGGGCACGCGCAAGAUUAGAUAGUUGGUAGGGUAACGGCCUACCAAGUCUGCGAUCUUUAGGGGGCCUGAGAGGGUGAUCCCCCACACUGGUACUGAGACACGGACCAGACUCCUACGGGAGGCAGCAGUGAGGAAUAUUGGACAAUGGGUGAGAGCCUGAUCCAGCCAUCCCGCGUGAAGGAUUAAGGUCCUAUGGAUUGUAAACUUCUUUUGUAUAGGGAUAAACCUAGAUACGUGUAUCUAGCUGAAGGUACUAUACGAAUAAGCACCGGCUAACUCCGUGCCAGCAGCCGCGGUAAUACGGAGGGUGCAAGCGUUAUCCGGAUUUAUUGGGUUUAAAGGGUCCGUAGGCUGAUCUGUAAGUCAGUGGUGAAAUCUCACAGCUCAACUGUGAAACUGCCAUUGAUACUGCAGGUCUUGAGUGUUGUUGAAGUAGCUGGAAUAAGUAGUGUAGCGGUGAAAUGCAUAGAUAUUACUUAGAACACCAAUUGCGAAGGCAGGUUACUAAGCAACAACUGACGCUGAUGGACGAAAGCGUGGGGAGCGAACAGGAUUAGAUACCCUGGUAGUCCACGCCGUAAACGAUGCUAACUCGUUUUUGGAGCG
rnacentral:rRNA from 1 species